UUGUCCUUUAAGUCACAAGUGUCAACCCCAAGGCCUGUGGGCCUAAUGCGGCCCAACACAUCAUUUUAUACGGCCCACCAGGACUUCAAUUGUGUAUGGCUGUCUUAAGGUCUGUACUAAUGUGUAUUGCAUAGGUUGACCAUUCUAUGACCAUUGCAUAGAAUGGUCAGCAUAUACUGCAUUUUAUUUUGAGACAUAUCCUACAUUUUAUGUGUGAAAUUUCAUUUUUAUUUACUUAUUUUUCUUGAUGUUAAAAUUUUGAAUUUAAUGUUUUUUAUUUCGAUGAGGAAAAAGUCUGCUGCAGUCAAAUUCAUAUAUCACUACUAGCCUGUUCUGGAUUUUCUUAAUCCUGCUCGCUCCCCAACUAAGUUUAAUUUAAUUUUGGCC